GACACGAUGACGACAUUACAUGUAAUCGAAUUCUUGUACAAUUGUAUAUUUUUGUCUGCAACACUUCUCAUGGAAUUAACCCUCUUUCUUCAAUUUGAGUCUACAGUUAUCUAAAUUAAGAGAAAAUAUGGAGUGCAGUGGAGUCUUGGAGAUUCGGACAAAGCUGCAGAUUUUGGGAAGCCGACAUCCGCUUCUCGAACUCCAAUGCUUGCGAUGCUCAAAACAAGACAACAAAUCUUACCUGCUCAGCAAACGGCGUUGGUGGGGUGAUGCGGAGAGUUUCAAGAAGGUUUUCAUAUGUGGCUUUGCUCGGCUCAAACACGAACAUGCCUGCGUUGAAGUAGAGUGGAGGAGGAGAG